rnacentral:rRNA from 1 species
UGAAGUUUUCGGAUGGAUCUUAAAUUGACUGAGCGGCGGACGGGUGAGUAACGCGUGGAUAACCUGCCUCACACAGGGGGAUAACAGUUAGAAAUGACUGCUAAUACCGCAUAAGCGCACGGUACCGCAUGGUACAGUGUGAAAAACUCCGGUGGUGUGAGAUGGAUCCGCGUCUGAUUAGGUAGUUGGUGAGGUAACGGCCCACCAAGCCGACGAUCAGUAGCCGACCUGAGAGGGUGACCGGCCACAUUGGGACUGAGACACGGCCCAAACUCC